rnacentral:lncRNA from 1 species
AUAAAUUUUUAUACUAAUAUAUGAGUCUGUUGAAGUAUCUCUUACCUCGUAGUUUAUGCAGCUGAAGAAGCGCUUCCCAGGAUGAGUGUCGUGCUCCUCCUUCACCCGAACCUCGUCAAUGAUUCUCCCACCACAGGGACAUCUUCUAGGAAUCCCAUAUUCGGAAUCUGCGACGUAUCCCAACAUGUUGCAGUACUCCUGAUGCCUCUUUGUAUCUCUUAUCUCCUCUGCGGGAUCCAUCUGAACCAGUCAAGCAAACGGCUUACAACAAAAUCACAAAAUUAUAUCAUGAACGGAACCCAUAAUGGAACCCAC